rnacentral:rRNA from 1 species
AAUGGACGAAAGUCUGACGGAGCGACGCCGCGUGGAUGAAGAAGGCCGAAAGGUUGUAAAAUCCUUUUGCUGGGGAAGAAUAAGUCUGGGAGGGAAUGCCCGGAUGAUGACAUGAACCGGCGAAUAAGCCCCGGCCAACUACGUGCCAGCAGCCGCGGUAACACGUAGGGGGCGAGCGUUGUUCGGAAUUACUGGGCGUAAAGGGCAUGUAGGCGGUUUUGUAAGCUUGGCGUGAAAGACCACGGCUCAACCGUGGGGUUGCGUUGAGAACUGCAAAGCUUGAGUUAUGGAGAGGGAGCUAGAAUUCCUGGUGUAGGGGUGGAAUCUGUAGAGAUCAGGAAGAAUACCAAUGGCGAAGGCAAGCUCCUGGCCGAUGACUGACGCUGAGGUGCGAAAGUGUGGGGAUCAAA